rnacentral:miRNA from 15 species
AUCAUAGAGGAAAAUCCACGU